ACUUGAAUCAUUAAAUUUUUUUUUUUUUUGAAAUUCAUUAAAUAAUUGGUAAAUCAUCAGAUAUACCAUAUACAUAAAGAAAAAGAGAAACUGUAAAAUAUUAGAAAAUUAAUUGAUUAGAUAUUAGGAAAAUACCUCUGUUUCUUGAGUUGUAAUUGUCAAUUAGGACUUGAAUUUAUGACAAAUUGACAUUUUGAUCCUGUAGAUUAUAAUUGUACCUGUACAUGUAUUUCUGUGUUAAGGUUGUUAUUUUGUAUAUAUCAUGCAGAAAAAUGAAUGAAGUUCUCAUGCGGAGUACCCUAUAUAUACAUGUAUGUCAUGCAUGCACAGUAGAUGGACUGUACUAGUCGCUUUCAAUCAGUCAGUAUUAUGUUUAUCCAAGAGCUCAAUUUUGCAGAAUGGGAUUUUCUUCCCACCAGACAUAUCCACAUGUAUAUUUGUAUGAACAUGGAUAAUGUUAUAUAGCAUAAUGAUCUGCAUGUUUUAACGGUUUAACCUGUGAAAUGUUUAUGUAUGCAAAGUUUGUGGAAAAUGCACCUGGACUGUGAUAGAUUUUUAUGUUUAUGUAUAUGUAGACUUUUCUAAUUAUUUAUUUUUUUUUAGCGUAAUAAUCAGUUUUUGUUCAAUGUAUAUUUUCUAUAAUGGGAGCAGUAGAAAGGUUUAAAUAGAUUUUUUGUUGAUUUUCAUUUUUUUUAUUGUCCUUCCAGUUUUCUCUUAAUUGACUUUACUUAAGUUCUUAUAUAUGUCGAUCUCUUAAAGUUUGACCUAUUAAAGUAAAGUUUUCUGGGAAAUAAUGAAAAACGUGAUUAUUAUCCUUAUUUUCAGUGUUAGCUUUUUAUUGUUGUUGAUAUUCUACAAACUGAUGUAGAUGUGUCUAUUUGCACAGUGCAUAGAAUAAAAUUACAGAAAAAUUAUCA
rnacentral:misc_RNA from 1 species